AAGGAGGAUGAGAGGAGACAUGAUAGAGGUGUACAAGAUAAUAAGAGGAAUAGAUAGAGUGGAUAGCCGGCGCUUCUUCCCCAGGGCACCACUGCUUAAUACAAGAUGACAUGGCUUGAAAAUUGUUUAGAGCAGCGUGAAGAGCCCGAGAAAUCAUAUCUGUUGUUGAUGCAUUGUGGUAAAUUGAAGAAGAUCUAGAUCCUCAGAUGAGUCCUUGAACACGGCCCAGUCCACUGAUUCAAAACAAUCCCGCAGCCACCCCUCUGCCUCCUGUGACCACCCUUUGUUGUCCUAAACUCUGGAGCGUUGUCCUUUAGCCUGUAUGCAAGUCAGAGAAGGACAGCCAAGUGAUCCGAUUUAAUGUUGUGAGACUCUCCUCCACAAAAUAAACAGAGAAAAACAAUGUCAUUGAACCAUGGUGAGUUCGUGGAAAGCCUGAGUGAAAGGUUAUCCAAAGAGUAUCUCGGGUGUCACAUGUUGCUGCUGCAGAGGUUCAUGGGAUUCCAACAAUCUGGAGCACAGAGCUGUGCAGUGCCUGGUACGCCAGGGGCUGCCACCAAUGAUCUAAACGCCUCUGUGAAGUGUAUCCUGUGCCUUUGUAUGGAUACUUCUGCAAACUUGUUCGCCUUGUCGCUCUGUGAAACCUAAGUCAACUGUGUCAUAUCUACUUUGAUAUCAGGAUUGGAAUAUUUGUUUUAAAUAGUUCUUAACCAUGAAAUUACCUCAGCUAAACAAUUAAAAUUUAUCCAUUGAUGUUUAAAGAACAUCAUUCAUGCAGAAUAUUUAAUUUCAUUCUCUAAUGAGCACAUUUACAUACAUGGAAUACAUCACUUUUACAUACAUUUUACAAAGAAACAUUCAUCAUUUCUGUAAACUGACGGACCUAAAUCUUCAUUGGCGAAAUUUUCUGAGAUUCUUCCU